rnacentral:rRNA from 1 species
AGGGCUUCCAGGCGACGACGGGUAGCCGGCCUGAGAGGGCGACCGGCCACACUGGGACUGAGACACGGCCCAGACUCCUACGGGAGGCAGCAGUGGGGAAUAUUGCACAAUGGGCGCAAGCCUGAUGCAGCGACGCCGCGUGAGGGAUGACGGCCUUCGGGUUGUAAACCUCUUUCAGCAGGGAAGAAGCGCAAGUGACGGUACCUGCAGAAGAAGCGCCGGCUAACUACGUGCAGGCGC